GUAGCUGGUUUGAGAGGACGACCAGCCACACUGACACUGAGACACGGCCCAGACUCCUACGGGAGGCAGCAGUGGGGAAUUUUGGACAAUGGGGGAAACCCUGAUCCAGCCAUCCCGCGUGUAUGAUGAAGGCCUUCGGGUUGUAAAGUACUUUUGGCAGAGAAGAAAAGGUACCUCCUAAUACGAGGUACUGCUGACGAUAUCUGCAGAAUAAGCACCGGCUAACUACGUGCCAGCAGCCGCGGUAAUACGUAGGGUGCAAGCGUUAAUCGGAAUUACUGGGCGUAAAGCGUGUGUAGGCGGUUCGGAAAGAAAGAUGUGAAAUCCCAGGGCUCAACCUUGGAACUGCAUUUUUAACUGCCGAGACAGAGUAUGUCAGAGGGGGGUAGAAUUCCACGUGUAGCAGUGAAAUGCGUAGAUAUGUGGAGGAAUACCGAUGGCGAAGGCAGCCCCCUGGGAUAAUACUGACGCUCAGACACGAAAGCGUGGGGAGCAAACAGGAUUAGAUACCCUGGUAGUCCACGCCCUAAACGAUGUCAACUAGCUGUUGGGGCCGUUAGGCUUAGUAGCGCAGCUAACGCGUGAAGUUGACAGCCUGGGGAGUACGGUCGCAAGAUUAAAACUCAAAGGAAUUGACGGGGACCCGCACAAGCGGUGGAUGAUGUGGAUUAAUUCGAUGCAACGCGAAAAACCUUACCUAGGCUUGACAUGUCUGGAAUGCCGAAGAGAUUUGGCAGUGCUCGCAAGAAACCGGAACCAGSUGSUGCAUGGCAGUCGUCAGCUGUAUCGUGAGAUGUUGGGUUAAGUCCCGCACGACCGCUCCUUUUUCAUUAGUGCUCGCAGAGCACUUAAGAGACUGCCGGUGACAAACCGGAGGAAGGUGGGGAUGACGUCAAGUCUCAUGGCCCUUAUGGGUAGGGCUUCACACGUCAUACAAUGGUCGGUCAGAGGGCUUCAACCCGCGAGGGAAAGCCAAUCUCAAAACCCGAUCGUAGUCCGGAUGCAGUCUGCAACUCGCUCGAAGUCGGAAUCGCUAGUAAUCGCGGAUCAGAAUGCGCGGUGAAUACGUUCCGGGGCCUUGUACACCCGCCCGUCACACCAGGGAGUGUUUACCAGAAGU
rnacentral:rRNA from 1 species